GCCGGGCACGGUGGUGUGCGCCUGUAAUCCCAGCUACUCGGGAGGCUGAGACAGGGGAAUUGCUUGAACCCGGGAGGCAGAGGUUGCAGUGAGCCAAGAUCAUGCCACUGUACUCCAGCCUGGGUGACAGAGCGAGACUCCGUCUCAA
ensembl:misc_RNA Metazoa_SRP Metazoan signal recognition particle RNA